GGCGAUAUGGCCGAGCGGUCUAAGGCGCCAGAAUCAGGCUUUAAGUCACGUGAUAUCUGGUCUUUCGGGGCGAGGGUUCGAAUCCCUCUGUCGUCA
rfam:Piloderma croceum F 1598 unplaced genomic scaffold scaffold_00251, whole genome shotgun sequence.